rnacentral:rRNA from 1 species
GUGGGGAAUCUUGCGCAAUGGGCGAAAGCCUGACGCAGCCAUGCCGCGUGAAUGAUGAAGGUCUUAGGAUUGUAAAAUUCUUUCACCGGGGACGAUAAUGACGGUACCCGGAGAAGAAGCUCCGGCUAACUUCGUGCCAGCAGCCGCGGUAAUACGAAGGGGGCUAGCGUUGCUCGGAAUUACUGGGCGUAAAGGGCGCGUAGGCGGACAGCUUAGUCAGAGGUGAAAGCCCAGGGCUCAACCUUGGAAUUCCCUUUGAUACUGGCUGUCUGGAGUUUGGGAGAGGUGAGUGGAACUCCGAGUGUAGAGGUGAAAUUCGUAGAUAUUCGGAAGAACACCAGUGGCGAAGGCGACUCACUGGCCCAAUACUGACGCUGAGGCGCGAAAGCGUGGGGAGCAAACAGGAUUAGAUACCCGUGUAGUCC